UCUCGAUUGGUCUAGUGGUCAGGAUACCUGCUUGUCAUCUUUCCGACAGUUACGCAGGUGGCCGGGGUUCGAUUCCCCGAUCGAGAG